CAGAAACCUGUUCACCAGCUCUGUGCCGUUAUUGCAACCUCAUUGUUUUCUGGACAAUUCCAGAGACUCAGAAAGAUGAAGUUUCCACUGGAGGAAAUCUGGAUGUGCCCUGUAAACAUUGGGGCUCACUGGGUUUUAGUGAUUGUCAACAUGUCUGACAAGGUCCUUGUGUUGAUCGAUCCGCUGGCAAAUGAAAGUGCACACGAGCGCAAGAUGCUACGUAACUGGCG